AUUGAACGCUGGCGGCAGGCCUAACACAUGCAAGUCGAACGAGUGGCGGACGGGUGAGUAAUGUCUGGGAAACUGCAUGAUGGAGGGGGAUAACUACUGGAAACGGUAGCUAAUACCGAAUACCAUCGCAUGUGCCUAGAUGGGGUUAGCUAGUAGGUGGGGUAAAGGCUCACCUAGGCCACGAUCCCUAGCUGGUCUGAGAGGAUGACCAGCCAAACGGGAACUGAGACACGGUCCAGACUCCUACGGGAGGCAGCAGUGGGGAAUAUUGCACAAUGGGCGCAAGCCUGAUGCAGCCAUGCCGCGUGUAUGAAGAAGGCCUUCGGGUUGUAAAGUACUUUCAGCGGGGAGGCGUUACCCGCAGAAGAAGCACCGGCUAACUCCGUGCCAGCAGCCGCGGUAAUUC
rnacentral:rRNA from 1 species